GCGGAGCGCUAUCGGGAUUAUUGGGCGUAAGAGCUCGUAGGCGGUUUGUCGCGUCUGCUGUGAAAUCCCGAGGCUCAACUUCGGGUCUGCAGUGGGUACGGGCAGACUAGAGUGCGGUAGGGGAGAUUGGAAUUCCUGGUGUAGCGGUGGAAUGCGCAGAUAUCAGGAGGAACACCGAUGGCGAAGGCAGAUCUCUGGGCCGUAACUGACGCUGAGGAGCGAAAGGGUGGGGAGCAAACAGGCUUAGAUACCCUGGUAGUCCACCCCGUAAACGUUGGGAACUAGUUGUGGGGUCCAUUCCACGGAUUCCGUGACGCAGCUAACGCAUUAAGUUCCCCGCCUGGGGAGUACGGCCGCAAGGCUAAAACUCAAAGGAAUUGACGGGGACCCGCACAAGCGGCGGAGCAUGCGGAUUAAUUCGAUGCAACGCGAAGAACCUUACCAAGGCUUGACAUAUACGAGAACGGGCCAGAAAUGGUCAACUCUUUGGACACUCGUAAACAGGUGGUGCAU
rnacentral:rRNA from 1 species